rnacentral:lncRNA from 1 species
GCUUCAUGCAAAAGAAUAUUUAUUUUUUCUUUUUGCAAAUUCCUUGUUGGAUAACCUACCAUACGGAUUUCAAAGCUCUCUGCACUUCAUAAUUAUUCCACAGGCAUAAAUUUCAAAACAAAUUUAUGCAUUUGAUAUUGUCACGGAUCUCAAAGCAAGUUUAUUGAUGAUAAGAUCCAUGUGAUUGGUGAGUCCAUUGGCAAAAUCAAAUGUCGAUGAUG